rnacentral:rRNA from 1 species
CAGAGGGUGCAAACGUUGUUCGGAUUUACUGGGCGUAAAGCGCGUGUAGGCGGCUUUGCAAGUCGGAUGUGAAAUCCCACGGCUCAACCGUGGAAGUGCAUCCGAAACGGCAUGGCUGGAGUCCCGGAGAGGAAGGUGGAAUGCUUGGUGUAGAGGUGAAAUUCGUAGAUAUCAAGCAGAACACCUGCGGCGAAGGCGGCCUUCUGGACGGUGACUGACGCUGAGACGCGAAAGCGUGGGGAGCAAACAGGAUUAGAUACCCUGGUAGUCCACGCCGUAAACGAUGAGUGCUAGGUGUCACGGGCUUUGACCCUCGUGGUGCCGUAGCUAACGCAAUAAGCACUCCGCCUGGGGAGUACGGCCGCAAGGCUA